rnacentral:tRNA from 1 species
GGCCGCGUAGUUCAGCGAAUUAGAACAUCAGAUUCCGGUUCUGAAAGUCGGGGGUUUGAAUCCCUCCGCGGUCACCA